GGAUCAUUAUUGAAUAGUAUUGAGCGCUGUGCUGGCCUUUCGGGGUAUGUGCACGCGUUUGAAACAUUUUAUCUUUUGUGCACCUAGUGUGGGCUUUUGAGGUUGAGAAGCAGUCUUUUUAGACUGUGGAUUGGCUUCAGAAGACCAUUUUUAUAUCCUUUAAACAAGUUAAUAGAAAGUCUCUUUACUUGACGCAAGUCAGUAGAUAAAACAAAUACAACUUUCAGCAACGGAUCUCUUGGCUCUCCCAUCGAUGAAGAACGCAGCGAAAUGCGAUAAGUAAUGUGAAUUGCAGAAUUCAGUGAAUCAUCGAAUCUUUGAACGCACCUUGCGCCCUUUGGUAUUCCGAAGGGCAUGCCUGUUUGAGUGUUAUUAAAUUCUCAACCUUUUGAACGCUUUACUGCGCUCACUAGGCUUGGAUGUGAGGGUUUUGCUGGCUUCCUUCAGUGGCGGUCUGCUCCCUUUAAAUGCAUUAGUGGGAUCCUUUGUGGAUCGGUCACUUGGUGUGAUAAUAUAUCUACGCCGCUUGUACUGUGAAGCAAAACUUAUGGGAACCUGCUUAUAACCGUCUAUUGCAAUAGACAACUUUUGAACUUUUAACCUCAAAUCAGGUAGGACUACCCGCUGAACUUAAGCAUAUCA
rnacentral:sRNA from 1 species